rnacentral:rRNA from 1 species
GAUGAACGCUGGCGGCGUGCCUAAUACAUGCAAGUCGAGCGAACAGACGAGGAGCUUGCUCCUCUGACGUUAGCGGCGGACGGGUGAGUAACACGUGGAUAACCUACCUAUAAGACUGGGAUAACUUCGGGAAACCGGAGCUAAUACCGGAUAAUAUAUUGAACCGCAUGGUUCAAUAGUGAAAGACGGUUUUGCUGUCACUUAUAGAUGGAUCCGCGCCGCAUUAGCUAGUUGGUAAGGUAACGGCUUACCAAGGCAACGAUGCGUAGCCGACCUGAGAGGGGGGCGGCCCACAGUGGAGGCGGACCGCGGUCCAGACUCCGAGGGGAGGCCGCAGAAGGGAAGUUUGCGCAGUGGGGGAAACCCUGACGGAGCGGCGCGGGGUGAGUGAAAAAGUGCUUCGGUUGGGAAGACUGUUUUAUUGGGGAAAAACAAAUGUAUAAGGAGAUAUGCCUGUCUUGACGGUACCUAAUAAAAAAGCCCCGGCUAACUACGUG